UCAAGUAUUAAAAACAAUAUAGCAUUAAAUGUUAAAAGCUUCCCUGAACAGGGCUGCCUUCAGAUGUCUUUUAAAGAUAGGAUAGCUACUUAUUUCCUUCACAUCUGAAGGGAGGGUGUUCCACAGGGUGGGCACCACUACCGAGAAAGCCCUCUGUCUGGUUCCCUGUAACCUUACUUCUCGCAAUGAGGGAACCGCCAGAAGGCCCUUGGCGCUGGAUCUCAGUGUCCGGGCUGAACGAUGGGGGUGGAGAUGCUCCUUCAGGUAUACAGGACCGAGGCCAUUUAGGGCUUUAAAGGUCAGCACCAACACUUUGAAUUGUGCUCGGAAACGUACUGGGAGCCAAUGCAGAUCUCUCAGAACCGGUGUUAUGUGGUCCCGGCGGCCACUCCCAGUCACCAGUCUAGCUGCCGCAUUCUGGAUUAAUUUCCAGAUUUCCAUGAUUUCUUGUUGAUGCGAGUUGUGCUUUUGGUCCAUGGAGGACCACAAAUAGUGCUCUCCCCCAAAGAUGAACUCAGUGAUUGACUUGUAUAGGGCAAGAAGGUCCUUAAAGUACCCUGGGCCUAAGUAAUUUGGGGACUUUAUACAAUAGGAAGCCAGUGCAGACUUUAAGGGAGAGCUGGGCACAUUAAUGGAAGAGCAGAGGUGCAUCAAUGACUGCCAGCCAUGACAGCCUGAGUUGGCCAUACUGCACUAUAUGGCCCAAGCAACAUUCUUAUGCAGGUGACAUAUCAGCAGAUGAGGAAAUUCAGUCCCUCAAGACAACAGCAGAAGCAUAGAGCAAGGGUGAUCCUUCAGAUGUUGCCAGACUACAAUUUCAUGGUUGCCAUGGACAGUAUCUUUCAGCUAUCAGAGCCUCCAUCUGUAGAGAUUGCAGAGUUUCGCAGAGGGAUCCCUCCCUGCUUAAAAAGCAGACAACCUUCUGCUGAAUUUGUUUCAUUUGGGGCCGUUUUGUGUGUGAUGGUUUUGUUUUUGUAACUGUGGAUUUUUAUUGCUGAAAGCUUAUAAUAUAAAUAAAUAUAAGUGAACAUCUUGACAAAAUA